AGCAGUUCUGGGGAAAGAAAAUACAUAAGGAAAUAUAAAUAUCAUUUUUAUCUGGAGUCUUUGUUAGAUGAUGACAGGGUUCCCACACCUUUGGUUGACAUUAAAUUCAAGGACCAAUUCCCCUCACAGUUCAAGGACAGAAUAUGCUGACACAGCGUAAGAUGGGAGGGCGACUUCGCCCAUGAUCGCCUGCAAGUGAUUGUCCUUGGGAUCUCCCUUUUUUUUAACGUUAUUUGCUUGUUCUGCGUUAAAUCUCACGUCAACAACAGAUAGACAGUGUACAGUAAUUAUGAAUCAAUGUUGGUAGGUGGCGUCUUUAACAGACAAGGGAGACCUUGUCUAAAUAUCAACUUAACUUCUUUCUUGUGCAAAAUUCAAUUCAAGCAUUUUCAAUGACCCAUGUUUUUCUAGGAUUUCAAGGACCUGUGGGAACCCUGUGACGAUGUAUGGAUAAGACAGUGUCAGGAGUUUCUUCUUACAGGUUUCCUGGGCUCGUCCACUUCUCUGAUGCUGAGGUUCUCCAGAGGAAUAAUCCCACGAGGCUCUUUGUCCUGGAGACACACAGGGGACAACACCCGGGGGAGACACAACCCUGCUCUCUCCCCGUCCUCCAGCAACUGCUCUUGUGUUUGUGGGGCCAGAUGUGAAGUGUGUGUGUGUGUGUUGGAGGGGGGAGAGACCUUGAGGAACAGCCUCAUGUCCUGCUUGUCAUCUUCCUCCUAACGAGG